UACAGAGGGGGCAAGCGUUGUUCGGAAUUACUGGGCGUAAAGGGCGCGUAGGCGGCCAUCUAAGUCAGACGUGAAAUCCCCCGGCUUAACCUGGGAACUGCGUCUGAUACUGGAAGGCUCGAGUUUGGGAGAGGGAUGCAGAAUUCCAGGUGUAGCGGUGAAAUGCGUAGAUAUCUGGAGGAAUACCGGUGGCGAAGGCGGCAUCCUGGACCAACACUGACGCUGAGGCGCGAAAGCUAGGGGAGCAAACGGG
rnacentral:rRNA from 1 species